rfam:Gossypium arboreum cultivar AKA8401 contig_59301_3, whole genome shotgun sequence.
AAACCAUGCAUUGGACAUUUCCUAAGUAAUUCCUUGAAAAGCUCCCAAGCUUCAUACAAGGUCUCAUCCUCUGAUUGUUGAAAAUAUGUGUUAUCAUUCAUUAACUU